rnacentral:rRNA from 1 species
UACGGGGGGGGCAAGCGUUGUUCGGAAUUACUGGGCGUAAAGGGCUCGUAGGUGGCCAACUAAGUCAGACGUGAAAUCCCCAGGCUCAACUUGGGAACUGCGUCUGAUACUGGAUGGCUUGAAUUCGGGAGAGGGAUGCAGAAUUCCAGGUGUAGCGGUGAAAUGCGUAGAUAUCUGGAGGAAUACCGGUGGCGAAGGCGGCAUCCUGGACCGAGAUUGACACUGAUGAGCGAAAGCGAGGGGAGCAAACGGG